AUGGGUGAUGUUGAGAAAGGCAAGAAGAUUUUUAUUAUGAAGUGUUCCCAGUGCCACACCGUUGAAAAGGGAGGCAAGCACAAGACUGGGCCAAAUCUCCAAGGCCUCUUCGGGCGGAAGACAGGUCAGGCCGCUGGAUACUCUUACACGGUUGCCAGUAAGAACAAAGGCAUCACCUGGGGAGAGGAUACACUGAUGGAGUAUUUGGAGAAUCCCAAGAAGCACAUACCUGAAACAAAAAUGAUCUUUGUCGGCAUUAAGAAGAAGGAAGAAAGGGCAGACUCGAUAGCUUUUCUCAAAAAAGCUACUAAUGAG
rnacentral:lncRNA from 1 species